CUCCAAUGAUGAUUCCGCCAUGCUAAUACCGAUGCACCAGGCUGACCGUGUGUCUACCUGCGUGUAAGUGAGUUGAACUGCCCUUCUCACGCUGACGGUGUCAGAGUGUGCUGAGGAGA